UACGUAGGGUGCGAGCGUUGUCCGGAAUUAUUGGGCGUAAAGAGCUCGUAGGCGGUGUGUCACGUCGGCCGUGAAAACCUGCGCUUAACUGUGGGCGUGCGGUCGAUACGGGCAUCACUGGAGUUCGGCAGGGGAGACUGGAAUUCCUGGUGUAGCGGUGAAAUGCGCAGAUAUCAGGAGGAACACCGGUGGCGAAGGCGGGUCUCUGGGCCGAUACUGACGCUGAGGAGCGAAAGCGUGGGGAGCAAACAGG
rnacentral:rRNA from 1 species